UGGGUGGGGAGCCAGAAGCUCCCGCGUUGGGAGGGGGCUGAGCAGGUUCAACAGAAAUGGAACCUACCCUCUUCCCACUGUGGGGGGGGGGUCAGUUCCACAGGGAUGAGAAAUCGAAGCUUCGGUGUAGGUCGGGCUUGCCUUGUUACUGCUUUCAGAUGCGACAGCUUCCUGCAUGAAAAGAAGAACCCAAGAUGGACCUGGAGCAGGAAGGAGAGGGGCUUUCCGGCUUCCUUCUGCCCAUCCUAGAAGCCACGCUUAAAACUAUGACCUUGAAUAACUCGGUUUUCUCAGGCUAUCAGACAGCUUGUAUCUCGAGGCAACUCUGCCUGGAGCCUUGGGAGGCAUGAGGGUCUCCACGGAGCUUUCAACAAGGUCCAGCCCUGAGCGUGGCCCAGAGGCCCAGCAAUCAUGGAGGUAUCCUUCCUCUGAAGAUGUUCAGGCCAGAGGGAACAGGAUGUGAGUGGUUGGACCUCCGGAAAAGAGGGCACACGGGAGGGCAUUGAACCCCGGGAAGUGGAGUCCUGCCCUGUGGGAGAAAGGGAAGGGGGAUCCCGGCGGGGGAGACCCUGUCCCCCGGGCUCAGACUCCUCAAGUCAGUCGCCUGCAUCUCAGGCGUCAGCACGUGGACAGUGGGCUGGGCAGUGAUGGUGCUUUUAAUGCUUGUAGAGUAUACACGCCAUCUUUCCCCAUUUUCAAGUGAGGAAACCUGGGCCCAGGGAGAAGUGAUGUGUCCAGGUCACAGCAUGUCAGUGAUGGCGUGUCUAUGAGGCCAGACCGAAUGCUCUUUUCCACCCGGUUUACACAGCAUCUGGCACCGGGCCACCGGGCCACGGGGCUACCAGCCCCUCCUGCUGAGGCCCGAGUAUCACCAGGAGCCACCCUGGUGCCUCAGCCUGGGCAGAGGUGGGAAACUCACCUGCCAAAAGGACCAGUGUGUCCCAGUUCUAACUGGGGCAGCCGCAGAACACUGGGACCGGGAGCAGGAGCGGCAGAGCUCCUCCAAGGCGCCCGUGGCCUCCGAGGCAGCAGCUCAGACACGGCCCAGCUGGCCAAAAUGAGUGUGUGCGCUGAGGUGGGGGCCGGAGUUGCAACUGGAAGGCUCUGGAAGCUGGGCCUCUGGACACCAGCCCCUCCCAGUCUCCUGGAGUCCUGAGUUGGCCUCAAGGGACCAAGCGAGAAGGCCCCAGGCCCAUCCGGUCCCUCUGCUCCUCCCUCUCAGGGGAGGCCCCUGGAAACGCCCUCUUGUCUACAGUUUGGACAUUACCAGGGGAUAAGUCUGCCCAGGCUCGCCAGGAGGGUGGUUCCCAGAGCCAUGGGACCUGGGGUCUCCCAGACAGUGUCUAGCUCUCCGCACAACUGGCAGAAUGAUUUUCAAGUUUCCAACAACUUGAAAACCACAUGUGAUUUUCCAUAGUCUGGUGCCCCCGCCCAGCUCCCCAGGCCCGGACUGCUGAGUGAGCAGAGUUCACCCGAAGAAUUCCUUCCACUCGCCGCAGGACCCAGCCCCCGGGAGACUGGGGGGUCACUGCAGCCGCAGGGGGGCUGAUGGGCUGAGGGGCGGGAGGCGGGCUUCCCGUGCCUGAGUAAUUCUGCAGCCCGCAGACUGGGAUGAGGACAAGGGCCACGUGUGGCAGUGUCAUGUGACAAUCAGCCAGGGUUGUCUGGUUCCAAACAGGCUCUAGUGGAAAAAAGUAUGCUGAUCAUCCCUCCCACCUUCCUCUAAAUUGACUCCGAUGGAUUGAAGAUGUAGAUGUUGAAAGAGAAACCAUCAAAGUAGUAAAAGAAAACAUAGAAAUUUGUGCUUAUAAUCUUCAUGGGGGAAGUCUUUCUAAGCAGAAACUGUAGAAGGAUGGAGAAUUUUGGUUCUGUAAAAGUGCUAGCUUUCUGUUCAAAAUAGCCUCAAAAUGAAAUUAACAGGCAAACAAAACACUGGAAAUAGAUCCACAACCCCUAGGUCAGAAAGCGAACAUUUUAGGAGCUGCCCGUGGCCUCAGAGCCUCUCUCCAAGCCUCAGUUUCUCUCCUCCAUACAAUGGGAUAAUACUGACACUAUCGCUCCUUGUGAAAAGGGCACAAGGAUUCACUGAGAUAAAUCUAGAAAGCUGUGCCUGAAAAAUACUAAUUCUUUGAUAAAGGGAAAACAUUCUUUACAUUUUUAAAGCUAAUUUGACCUUGUUUCCAUUUUUAAAAGUGAGCCCCCAGGAUAUAGGCCAAUUCACAAAAGAAGAAACAUAAGUGGGGACUUCCGUAGUGGUCCAGUGGUUAAGACUCCAUGCUUCCACUGCAGGGGGCACAGGUUCGAUCCCUGGUCCGGGAACUAAGAUCCCGCAUGCCACUAAUAAACAUAUGCAAAAAUGUUGACCUCAUGAAAAGUUAUGCAAAUGCUAAUUAAAAUACACUGAGUAGUACUUUUCCAAUAUCAA